rfam:Streptomyces turgidiscabies Car8 gcontig_1113219321187, whole genome shotgun sequence.
CGUGCGCAAGUGCCUAAUCCCGCAAGGGAACCGGGGAACCACCAACUUGGGGUGAAUCGCUCGUCCGCCUCCCUGGCAACACGGCAGGUAUACGCGCGUAGGAGACCUUCCUGCUCCGAACCCGUCAGCUAACCCGGUAGGCGAGAAGGAAGGAAAGG